UACGUAGGGUGCGAGCGUUGUCCGGAAUUAUUGGGCGUAAAGAGCUCGUAGGCGGUGUGUCACGUCGGCCGUGAAAACCUGGGGCUUAACUCUGGGCGUGCGGUCGAUACGGGCGGGCUAGAGUUCGGUAGGGGAGACUGGAAUUCCUGGUGUAGCGGUGAAAUGCGCAGAUAUCAGGAGGAACACCGGUGGCGAAGGCGGGUCUCUGGGCCGAUACUGACGCUGAGGAGCGAAAGCGUGGGGAGCGAACAGG
rnacentral:rRNA from 1 species